rnacentral:rRNA from 1 species
GACGACGCUGGCGGCGUGCCUGACACAUGCAAGUCGGACGGUUCUUGUACCUUCAAGCUUGCUUGUUGGUGCAAGGAUAGUGGCGGACGGGUGAGUAACGCGUGAACAUCUACCCAUUGGAGGGGGACAACCCGUCGAAAGGCGGGCUAAUACCGCGUAAGCCGCGAGGUGAGAGGCUGCCUAUUGGUGGCCGCCGAUGGAUGGGUUCGCGUCCUAUCAGCUGGUUGGUGGGGUAACGGCCUACCAAGGCGAAGACGGGUAGCCGGUCUGAGAGGAUGGCCGGCCACACUGGAACUGAGACACGGUCCAGACUCCUACGGGAGGCAGCAGUGAGGAAUAUUGGUCAAUGGACGAGAGUCUGAACCAGCCAAGUCGCGUGAAGGAAGACGGUUCUAUGAAUUGUAAACUUCUUUUGUGCAGGAAUAAAGUGGGUUACGUGUAACCUUUUGUAUGUACUGUACGAAUAAGGAUCGGCUAACUCCGUG